rnacentral:rRNA from 1 species
UACAGAGGGUGCGAGCGUUGUCCGGAAUCACUGGGCGUAAAGGGCGCGUAGGCGGCCUGAUAAGUAGGGGGUGAAAUCUUGCGGCUCAACCGCAAGGCUGCCUUCUAAACUGUCAGGCUGGAGCACGGUAGAGGCAGAUGGAAUUCCCGGUGUAGCGGUGGAAUGCGUAGAGAUCGGGAAGAACACCAGUGGCGAAGGCGGUCUGCUGGGCCGUAACUGACGCUGAGGAGCGAAAGCAUGGGGAGCGAACAGG